rnacentral:lncRNA from 10 species
UAUGAGCCAAAUUUCACUGAAACUAUUCAAAUAUACAUUUUCGAUUUAAGUGAACUACACUAUAGUAAUUCAUCUUCCAUUUCCAUUUUUACUCUUCAAAAUUAAAGGCUAUAUUGUAUUUGUAAUGUAAAUUAUUAUACUAAUGUGAAUUUCUAUAGGAAGGUCAUGAGACUUGCAAACAUUUAAAUAUCACUUCAAUAUUUUACUUUAAAAGAGGAAACAAAACACAGUACCAAACAGAUGAUAACAGAUAUUCUUGGUGUUAAAGGAAAAGCCAGCAAAGAUGUGAAUUUCUAAAAUAAUCUGUACAAUGCAAUAACACUUCUUAGAUCCUUAAAAACAAAAUAGCAAUUAGGUAAUGACUAGGGUACUUUUCAUACUUUUUCCUUCAUAUUUUCUUCACACUUUAACCACAUGUACAUCAAACUCUUUCAGCUACCACAGCAUCUGAAAACCUAACUUUCCAUAGUUUUACCACAAAGUAUAAAAACAUCAGUAAUAAGAUAGAAAUUAUUACUUCUGGUAACAUGGCUCAUUUUUACUUUAGCUUCCAAACAGUGAAUCUGUUAUAAAAAGGAAGUUUUCAAUAAUCAAGGGCACAAUGUAAGUUACAUAUAUACUUUUAUUAUUAUAUAUAAUUUUAUCAUAUGCACAAAUAACUCAUAAAUAUGUAUAUAAAACUAAAAUGUCCACAAUUUUUCUAAAAGCACAAUUCACAAAUGCAAUGAAUUGGAUAGCCAUUGGCACAUCAAAAAUUUUAAUAAGUAUAAACUGGUCAAUUCCAACCAUUUGGUAAUUUACAAUGCAGGUUAUCACAGUAUCAAAAUACACCUUAUUAAAUUUGUAAAGAAUAUGCUAUGUUGCUAGCUUCCCAAACCAACUGUUUCUAACCAAAUAAAGCAUAUUAUUUAUAUUGGCAUACUAUACUCUUGCCUGACAGGCAAUAUUUUUAACUCUAAGAGGGGUAGGUAAAAGAUCAGUUUUUUGGAAAAUAAAAGAUUUAUAUAAAAAGUCUGGAUAAAAAAGCAGUGGUUUAGUACAGAUGAUUCAACUUUUGGUGAGGUUUCUGUAUCUAUUUACCUUUUAGACAUGGGGAGACAUGAGUGCUAUGAUAACAUACGGUUUGGGGAAGGCAGAUUUCUAAAGGCUUUUCCUAACUGUAGAAGCUUGUCAAAUUUUUAUAUAACAUACAAUUUUUAACUGUCAAAGAUUCUGUGAAAGUACACAGAAGCAGGUCCGUGUAAUUAUUUAAGAACAAGGUAGUUUAAAAAAUGUGUUGUAAAGCAUGGAAGAAAAUAAUAAUAGGUAAGGAAAACCCACAAACAUCUGACUCACAAAUAUUUUCUUAUACAGAUGCUGAGGUAGAAAAAGUCAAAUAUGCUUAAGAAGAAAACAUACGAAGGAUAGGUAAAGAUAUACAAGUUUUAAACUAUGAAAUUCCUCUAAUGCAAAUGAACUCAAUACUGAAUGACUUUUCCACAGUCCUCCAUGCUUCCUUCCUUGCCAUGGAAACGUUCUAAUUAAAUUGAAAUUUAAAUCAUAACCAAAUCCAAAUGCCUAAUAAAGUCCUUUCAUCAC